AUGCCAUGUCUUCUGUCUUCUGUUGCUAUGAAAUGUCAUGAGUAUGAAGGAAGGGAGAAACUCUGAGACUGCAGCAGUGACAGCCACAGGAGCAUGUAGGAUAUGAAGCCCUGGAUGGGAAACAAGUUCGGAUCUUCUGUGAAACUCAAGGAAGACGGAACUACAUCCACGCCUGGAGCCCAACAUCUCACCUGGGAACAUGACCAUCCACCACAGCUCACUGGAGGGGGUACGGUCACAGGUUAUCGUCACAGGAGCCACCACCUACAUGCACAACUUUUCUUCAGUAAACUGAGUGUCUCUCUUUCUGUCUCUCUUUGAAAAGUCACCACACAAAGGAUAAAAGUGUUUAUUUAGAUGAAGUUACUGAGAUGUAGCCAAGUGUUUGUAAUAAAAACAUUACAACAUGUAAAUUGUGAUUAAUC
rnacentral:lncRNA from 1 species